GUCUCUUAUUCCGGGGCCAUCGGCCCCUCUAAAGAAACACUGGCCCGAAGGGGCAUCGCUGUCGAGCAGGAGGGGAACGUGGAGGCCCUCCAGUCACCCCUUCGGUAGGCAGAUGCUGAAACAGGCUCAGUGACAUUGAGCCGCUGCUGGCGAACUCCCGUCUUCCUAAUUCCAAGUCCAGAGCUCCGUCCUCUAUGCCGUGUUGCCUUUUCCAUUUCUGGCGUAGCCGCCUAUGUGCCAGGCACUGUGCAAAGACAAGUGAAGCUAUUCCUGCUCCCAAGCCCGCGAUAGAACGGGGGAGGUUUUCAGGGAGCUGGGACACUAGUGGCCGGGAUGGGGGUUUCUUGUACAAGGUGGGACUGCAGUCCUGAAGAGAGGGAUCCCAUGAGGCAGGAGUGGCAAAAAGGAAUUCUAGGCAAAGGGAUGGCUUCUGGGGACUGCAGUGACUGGCAGAGCAGGAUCUUGAGUUUUCUGCAGUUUCCAGCCAGAAAUGUGAUGCCGACGGGCCUCUGGGGAGUCUACCGUCCGAGUCCCUUCGAGUGACAGAAUGCUUUUAUCUCAUUGUCUCCUGGGCCUCAAGGUCCAUAGAACACCCAAGCAUGCUUGCCCAUGCCCGCAAGCACACGUCCACUGAUACAGCUUCUCGGAAGGUCUUGGUGGACCCCCAAAAGUUGCCAAACCCAGAACACUGGUUUUCCUCCUCCCCUCAUCUCAGUAGUCGCCUUCUCAGCUGUCAUUUUUGUAUGGUGAUAGUAGCGUAAUAUAGAAUUAGGUUAGCCCUCAGAAAGGCAAGUCGGGUGGGGGACCUGCUUCUACAGAAUAGCUUGGAAUCCCACUUGUAUGUAUUCGGAAAAGUUGUGAUUGUGAGAACCUUCCCGUGGAACCCCCUUGUCUGUGGUCUCCCCAGUGAGCGAGUGUGACCUGGGACUCCAGAGAGGUGCCACGCCAUGACUCUGGAUUUCUGGAUGUGCAAAUAAAUGUGUUUUACUGUAGACUUGUUGAUUCCUC
rnacentral:lncRNA from 1 species